UACGUAGGGGGCGAGCGUUGUCCGGAGUUACUGGGCGUAAAGCGCACGCAGGCGGUCUGUGAAGUUUGGAGUGACAGUUGGUGGCUCAACCACCAAAGUGCUUUGAAAACUGACAGACUUGAGGGCUUCAGAGGGACACGGAAUCCGGGUGGAGUGGUGAAAUGCGUAGAGAUCCGGAGGAACACCAAAGGCGAAGGCAGUGUCCUGGGGAGUACCUGACGCUCAGGUGCGAAAGCCAGGGGAGCGAACGGG
rnacentral:rRNA from 1 species